rnacentral:misc_RNA from 1 species
UUUCCGUAGGUGAACCUGCGGAAGGAUCAUUAAAAGGUAAGUCUCUUCGGGCCUGAUAUCCCACCCUUUGAUUCACUACCAUUGUGUUUUGGCUUGUCGCUCUCACGACCGCCGGAAGUUUCGCUUCGAUGAACCUUGUGUUCCGUGCCCGUCAGUCGCCCAUUCAAACUCUUUAUCAAGUAUGUUUUCUUAGUUAAAAACUUAAUAGUUAAAACUUUCAACAACGGAUCUCUUAGUUCUG